GUAGUCUGCAACCCGACUACAUGAAGCUGGAAUCGCUAGUAAUCGCGGAUCAGAAUGCCGCGGUGAAUACGUUCCCGGGUCUUGUACACACCGCCCGUCACACCAUGGGAGUCGGAAAUGCCCGAAGUCUGUGACCCAACCUUAGGGAGGGAGCAGCCGAAGGCAGGUCGGAUGACUGGGGUGAAGUCGUAACAAGGUAUC
rnacentral:rRNA from 1 species